AAAUGCUGCCAGCACUGGGUUCUUUCCUUUAAGGCAGCAGGUUUCCUUCUGGCCUGGGUGUGUCUAGGAAUGUCCAGGAGCCAGAGCCUGGAAAGGAGGCCUCAGGACUCUGACCAGUGAGCUAUCUUGCUGUGGCUGAGCUGGUAGCCAGGAUGGAAAACAAAGUCCUCCCUAAUCUUUUCCUCCUCUCCUCAAGCAGAAGGAUGGUGUCCCUUUUGGAGCCAUGAGCUGUGCAGACUGGUAUUAGGGGAGUGAUAGUGCCAGAACUCCUUUGGCUGCCCCAGCUGCUGUCUCAGUAUGUUGCAUGCCCUCCCUACCCCAGUUUACUGUUCCUGGGCCCAGAUCAGCCCUAGGCCUCACCUAAGAUUUGCAGUCCUGAUGGCCUAUGCUGCCUUUCAAAUUUUCUUAGAUACACAGAGCGCUGGAGCCCUCAGUUGCCAGGUUUCCAAACGCUCAAGUUCCAACCACUGGAAUCUGAUUCCCCUCUGGCUAGGGCUGGUUUAAAUGAUCCCUCUGUGGAUGGGCAUUGACUGCAUUCGGUCUGGUUUUCCUUUCUGCUCUAACAGGACAGCACAGGGUUCGAUGCCUCACAAUUGCUGUGUUCUCCCUCCUGCAGAGCCCAGAGUUGAUCUCUGCACCACUCUAUCACUGCUGGGGGUGAGGAAAUGGUGGAACCGGUGAUUCAGGACUGUUUUUUCUCUCUUCUCAGUGCCUCUUUCAGUGAUAUGAAGUUAAAACCAGGUAUUUUGAGUACUCACCUGAUUUUUGGUUCUUAUGAAAGUAUUUUCUAUGUAGAUAUUAAUAGUUGUUCAUCUGGUGUCCUUGCAGGAUGGAAGAUCAGUGGAGCCUUCUUUCUGCCAUCUUGCUUUACCCUCACACCCAAGAAUCAGAAUGCAGAACUUUUAAUCAGAAAAGCAUUCAGAACUCAGGAAGGACAUGGAAGACAUCCUGGUUCUCCACGUUUAACAUUGGACUGUUUCUUCAACUUAGGUGCAUAGCACUGACACUAAUCAGGGAUUAUCACCGAUAAUUUGACUUGGACUAUGGAGUUCAUUCAAAUACUUUAUCUAGACAAUUUAAGUACUGGCUUAUUUGUCAUGAAAAUCUGACAAAGUAAUUUCUUGGUAUUCAGUUGAUUUUUACUCUGUUUGGGUUAGCAGUUUAUAAACCAGUCAGUCUCUUCAUUAAAGUUCUGGGAAUUCUUACUCGUUCAAAUGAUAUGAUUCUAAAGUUCUCAAAAAUCUGUAUUCUAGAAUUCUUCUCAGGACCUUUUCCCUCCUUUCAUGAAACUCCUUAAAGAUACAGUAUUCUAUAAUUUUGCAAGCUUGUACAGUUUUCAGAAACUGCCUCAGAAUUAAGCAAUUUACAGUGGAAAUGUUUUUAAAUUGUCAUAGACACAAUUGACAAGAAAAUUUUAUUAUUUACAGGCGUGAGCCACCACACCCAGCCUCUGAAGUUAAUUUAAUAAAAUUUUAUGAAUAAAUUUAUCAAAUGUGUCAUCU
rnacentral:lncRNA from 10 species